UACGUAGGGGGCAAGCGUUGUCCGGAAUCAUUGGGCGUAAAGCGCGUAUAGGCGGCCCGAUAAGUCCGCUGUGAAAGUCCAGGGCUCAACCCUGGGAUGCCGGUGGAUACUGUCGGGCUCGAGUCCGGAAGAGGAGUGUGGAAUUCCUGGUGUAGCGGUGAAAUGCGCAGAUAUCAGGAGGAACACCAAUGGCGAAGGCAGCACUCUGGGACGUGACUGACGCUGAGACGCGAAAGCGUGGGGAGCAAACAGG
rnacentral:rRNA from 1 species